UCAUCAACCCUGAAAUCCGACUGAAAAGAAUCUUCGCCCAUCCUUUGUUGUGAAUGGAAAUUAUUUGUAUUCUGCAUAUUCUCCUGAUUAUCAUUGGAAGAUUGGAUUGUAUUGGCUAGUGUUGUUGUAACCAAAUCAGCAGUACCAGGGUGAUCAAACUCUUGAUCAGGAUGUUCCUCUGAUAAAAAGCUAUCUGAUGCUAAAAGUGGUCUUGAUGAGGCCACUGACUUGGUUAUCAACUGUGACAGGACCCAGUCCUUGAAGCUCAUCAUGUUUUCUGCACAGAAGGACAAUGAUUCUCACUAUUAAUUCAGCUUGUCCCUUGUAAUAUAAGACGUUAGGUGACAACACCAACUGAAGAUGCACAUAGAAUUGCAUCAUCU